rnacentral:rRNA from 1 species
GACGAACGCUGGCGGCGUGCUUAACACAUGCCAGUCGAACGGAAAGGCCCUGCUUUUGUGGGGUGCUCGAGUGGCGAACGGGUGAGUAACACGUGAGUAACCUGCCCUUGACUUUGGGAUAACUUCAGGAAACUGGGGCUAAUACCGGAUAGGAGCUCCUGCUGCAUGGUGGGGGUUGGAAAGUUUCGGCGGUUGGGGAUGGACUCGCGGCUUAUCAGCUUGUUGGUGGGGUAGUGGCUUACCAAGGCUUUGGCGGGUAGCCGGCCUGGGAGGGUGACCGGCCACAUUGGGACUGAGAUACGGCCCAGACUCCUACGGGAGGCAGCAGUGGGGAAUAUUGCACAAUGGGCGGAAGCCUGAUGCAGCAACGCCGCGUGCGGGAUGACGGCCUUCGGGUUGUAAACCGCUUUCGCCUGUGACGAAGCGUGAGUGACGGUAAUGGGUAAAGAAGCACCGGCUAACUACGUG